rnacentral:rRNA from 1 species
GAAGGCGGCCAGAGCGGUGGGGAGACACCCGUACCCAUUCCGAACACGGAAGUUAAGCCCACCAGCGUACCGGGAAGUACUG